rnacentral:rRNA from 1 species
CCUACGGGGGGCAGCAGUGGGGAAUAUUGCGCAAUGGGCGAAAGCCUGACGCAGCGACGCCGCGUGAGGGAUGAAGGUCUUCGGAUCGUAAACCUCUGUCAGCAGGGAAGAACGGUCACUGUGCUAAUCAGCAGUGAAUUGACGGUACCUGCAAAGGAAGCACCGGCUAACUCCGUGCCAGCAGCCGCGGUAAUACGGAGGGUGCGAGCGUUAAUCGGAAUUACUGGGCGUAAAGCGCUCGUAGGCGGUAUGUCAAGUCAAGGGUGAAAUCCCCGCGCUCAACGUGGGAACUGCCUUUGAAACUG